rnacentral:tRNA from 1 species
UGUGCUGUAGCUCAGCCGGUAGAGCGGCUCCCUGUUAAGGAGAUGGUCCCUGGUUCGAACCCAGGCAGCACAGCCA